rnacentral:misc_RNA from 1 species
AGGAUUAUGGAGGAACUUCCAUGUUAGAUUUGAACACAAUUGAGACAUUUGCAACUCUCUUUUCUUAAAGAAAAUGCCCGACAUGUGUGCUGUGAAUCAGGUAAUGUAAAAUAAGUAGGAUUCAUAAAUUUAUGUCCUGAAUUUAUAGAAACAAAAUUUUCCAUGUCUGAUUUCCUGGGUUCCUUUGAAUUUGGUGGGAGAAAUGAAGAUUUGUAGUUUAAUAGGUGUGAAUUGAAGGGGCCCGGAGGGGCAAUUGAAUCUGACUUGUUUCAUGCCUAACUAAAAG